rnacentral:rRNA from 1 species
AACGAACGCUGGCGGCAUGCCUAACACAUGCAAGUCGAACGAUUGCCUUCGGGUGAUAGUGGCGCACGGGUGCGUAACGCGUGGGAAUCUGCCCUUAGGUUCGGAAUAACAGCUGGAAACGGCUGCUAAUACCGGAUGAUAUCGCGAGAUCAAAGAUUUAUCGCCUGAGGAUGAGCCCGCGUUGGAUUAGGUAGUUGGUGGGGUAAAGGCCUACCAAGCCGACGAUCCAUAGCUGGUCUGAGAGGAUGAUCAGCCACACUGGGACUGAGACACGGCCCAGACUCCUACGGGAGGCAGCAGUGGGGAAUAUUGGACAAUGGGCGCAAGCCUGAUCCAGCAAUGCCGUGUGAGUGAUGAAGGCCCUAGGGUUGUAAAGCUCUUUUACCCGGGAAGAUAAUGGCUGUACCGGGAGAAUAAGCCCCGGCUAACUCCGUG